rnacentral:rRNA from 1 species
CCUACGGGUGGCAGCAGUGGGGGAUAUUGCACAAUGGGGGAAACCCUGAUGCAGCGACGCCGCGUGUGGGAAGACGGUCUUCUGGAUUGUAAACCACUGUCCCCAGGGACGAAAAUGACGGUACCUGGGGAGGAAGCUCCGGCUAACUACGUGCCAGUAGCCGCGGUAAUACGUAGGGAGCAAGCGUUGUCCGGAAUUACUGGGUGUAACGGGAGCGUAGGCGGGGAUGCAAGUUGGGUGUCAAAACUACCGGCUCAACCGAUAGUCGCACUCAAAACUGCAACUCUUGAGUGAAGUAGAGGCAGGCGGAAUUCGUAGUGUAGCGGUGAAAUGCGUAGAUAUUAGGAGGAACACCAGUGGCGAAGGCGGCCUGCUGGGCUUUUACUGACGCUGAGGCUCGAAAGUGUGGGGAGCAAACAGGAUUAGAUACCCCUGUAGUC